UACGUAGGGGGCAAGCGUUGUCCGGAUUUAUUGGGCGUAAAGAGCGUGUAGGCGGCCUUACAGGUCAGCUGUGAAAACUCGAGGCUCAACCUCGAGACGUCGGUUGAAACCGUAUGGCUAGAGUCCGGAAGAGGAGAGUGGAAUUCCCGGUGUAGCGGUGAAAUGCGCAGAUAUCGGGAAGAACACCCGUGGCGAAGGCGGCUCUCUGGGACGGUACUGACGCUGAGGCGCGAAGGCUAGGGGAGCAAACGGG
rnacentral:rRNA from 1 species